CACUGGUCGUUCAGUGCUUGUGUGUGCGUCACAUUCAGCUUAUCUCUUCUACUGGCUCCCUUCGGAAUAGGAUGUCUUGAGUUGGACCUCGCCAGUUAUGACAUCUUCAAAGUCAAGGUUUGAUCAAAAGAAACACUUGGCUGGCAGUGGGACAGUUCACCGUGGCUGGCAGAGAUGAAGUCAAUUGUUCAAGUCACGACGACGGCUGGUGGGACAUAAGAGAUGAAAUUGAUGACACCCGAAGAGAGAAGGAGCACGCUAAUUGAAAGCAAUACCAACAUGCCUUCAACACUCUUACCUCAGCUCCGCCUCACCCCGAGCACAUACCACUCCGCAAGUAGUCUGGACCCUAACAUGUACGACAAGAAAAACAAUCACGUGCUUGAUGGUUUUCAACUGUAAUAACAAUAAUACAAACUGCUGGAAGCUCCAAUUUGUCAAGUAACGAUGAUGGCUGCAGCAGGAGGCUCUACGAGGCGACUUUACAGCUGUAUCUUAGUAUGGAGAUAAAGCGGUUCACCAUGUUUACUGUAAACAGCAUUGUCUGGGACCUCUUAUGGGCUAGUUAAUACACUGUCAUAAGGGCACAAUAGAGGUGUUGUGUGAUCACAAUUCCAUCUGUGAAGGUUUUCACAACCUGAAAGGCUGCAGAACAAACCCGCUGCCCAAUCAUGAGUCAUGCUUAUUGCAAGUGAACUCGAGUAAACUAUGGGCAGUGAGAAGAAUAUGUUGAAAAGGGUAACUCGUGACAAUGCACACAUAGUUCCCUAAACCCUUCUUUGUAAAGGCACGGCCUACAAUAACACCAUUUCACAAAAGUGUGCUAUGCCAGUAAUUUAAGAGUGUGGAAAAUAACAUAUGAAGAAAGACUUUUUAUUUUAAAUGACAUUAAAAACACAAUAUGUUCUCACUGAUAAUAGGAACAAAUAUUCAGUCUUCUAACACCAAUUAAUAAAUUAAGUCUCAAACAUUUUCAUAAAUGAAGCUUUUUUUUCAAAAUUGUAAGCACUUGUGAUAACCUUGCAUUUUUAUUAUUCAUGAAUGCAAUUUCAUAAAUGCAAAAAGUGGUGAUGGAAUACAUUGUGGCACGCGACAAAAGAAAAUCAAUUUCACUUUGAAGAAAUUAAAUUCCCCUCAAUACAAAUUUUCAGUGAGAAAUAAAAAAUAAUAUUCAUAAUAGGCAAAAAAAAGAAAGAAAGAA